rnacentral:rRNA from 1 species
CUAAGAAGGGGUCGCAUGUCUAGUAUAAGCAUUAUACCGCGAAACUGCGAAUGGCUCAUUAAAUCAGUUAUCGUUUAUUUGAUAGUACCUUACUACAUGGAUAACCGUGGUAAUUCUAGAGCUAAUACAUGCUAAAAAUCCCGACUUCGGAAGGGAUGUAUUUAUUAGAUUAAAAACCAAUGCCCUUCGGGGCUCUCUGGUGAUUCAUAAUAACUUCUCGAAUCGCACGGCCUUGCGCCGGCGAUGGUUCAUUCAAAUUUCUGCCCUAUCAACUUUCGACGGCUGGGUCUUGGCCAGCCGUGGUGACAACGGGUAACGGAGGGUUAGGGCUCGACCCCGGAGAAGGAGCCUGAGAAACGGCUACUACAUCCAAGGAAGGCAGCAGGCGCGCAAAUUACCCAAUCCCGACACGGGGAGGUAGUGACAAUAAAUACUGAUACAGGGCUCUUUCGGGUCUUGUAAUUGGAAUGAGUACAAUUUAAAUCCCUUAACGAGGAACAAUUGGAGGGCAAGUCUGGUGCCAGCAGCCGCGGUAAUUCCAGCUCCAAUAGCGUAUAUUAAAGUUGUUGAGGUUAAAAAGCUCGUAGUUGAACCUUGGGCCUAGCCGGCCGGUCCGCCUCACCGCGUGCACUGGCUCGGCUGGGUCUUUCCUUCUGGAGAACCUCAUGCCCUUCACUGGGUGUGACGGGGAACCAGGACUUUUACUCUGAACAAAUUAGAUCGCUUAAAGAAGGCCUAUGCUCGAAUACAUUAGCAUGGAAUAAUAGAAUAGGACGUGUGGUUCUAUUUUGUUGGUUUCUAGGACCGCCGUAAUGAUUAAUAGGGACAGUCGGGGGCAUCAGUAUUCAAUUGUCAGAGGUGAAAUUCUUGGAUUUAUUGAAGACUAACUACUGCGAAAGCAUUUGCCAAGGAUGUUUUCAUUAAUCAGGAACGAAAGUUAGGGGAUCGAAGACGAUCAGAUACCGUCGUAGUCUUAACCAUAAACUAUGCCGAUUAGGGAUCGGACGGCGUUAUUUUUUGACCCGUUCGGCACCUUACGAUAAAUCAAAAUGUUUGGGCUCCUGGGGGAGUAUGGUCGCAAGGCUGAAACUUAAAGAAAUUGACGGAAGGGCACCACCAGGGGGUGGAGCCUGCGGGCUUAAUUUGACUCAACACGGGGAAACUCACCAGGUCCAGACACGAUGAGGAAGGACGGAUGGAGAGCUCUUUCUUGAUUUCCUGGGGGGGGGGUGCAGGCCCGUUCUUAGUUGGUGGGAGUGAUUUGUCGGCUUAAUUGCAAUUAAAGAACAAGAACCUUAACCUGGCAAAAAAACCCGGUAUUGGCUUUGGCAAUAACCCUGGCUUUCUUAAAAGGAACAUCA